AGCACUUCUGUGUGUUUGUUCAGCUGGUGGAGAAAGGCAUAGAAAAGGGUGCAAAAGCAAACACGCCUUUGCAGCCAGAACUCAUUGUCCAGCAUGAGUUUUGAUGCACACAAGAAAGGAUAUG
ensembl:snoRNA